rnacentral:lncRNA from 10 species
AGUGAAGGAGCAAAGGGGACUCGGCCGCCAUGUUAGGAGUACUGGGACGAUUCCGCGGAGCCGGGCAGAGGUUUUAGGGGUGCGCAGGAGUCAAGUGGUGGUUCAGUGGGGACGGAAUGAUUAACAAAGGCGUCCGAAGAAAUCGUUGUUGGAAGGUGACCAAGGUGGAAAGAGACGUUGCUUUGGCCCUGCAAGUAAGAAGAGAGAGGGAAUAGCCUGAAGGAGUAACACUAAAUUUAAAAUGACACUUUUUUACCAACCAGCGAAAGCAGAUGUUCAAAGGGGAUAUUGGCCAGAGUCUGUCACACUAAGAUGAGAAAUGUCCUUUCUUCCUGAAGGUGUCUGAUGUGUAAAAAUAUGAUAUACUUUGUGCUGUUUCCUCCCUUCCCUUUUGCAUAUUAUUCUGAAACAACAUUAACUAGUUACUUUGCGUCAUUGAAGGUAUGCACUUCCCCUCUAUGUUAGGAGUGAAUAAAAUUAAAAAUAGAUCCUUAUAACAAAGAAAGGCAGAUAGAAUGAUUAAAAAUGACCAAAACAUGUUAGAAACAGUCUCUCAGGUGUAUGCAGAUGGUAAUUACAAAAAUACUUUUUCAAAAAAUGAUCUUCUGUGUCAUGUUUCUGGGAACAAGUCAAGAUGAAUGAGUUUGAUUUUUAAGCAGAAGUAGUAUGUGUUGGUGUCAUCCAUGAAUACAACAAUGAAAAAGGCUCAAAGUUGUUGUUAUUCAGAAACUUCUCUAAGUAAUGGUGGUAAGUACAGGAAAAGGAGCAAUGUCUACCAUUUUCUUUCUAACCUUCGAUUUAACUAUUGUAAUGUUGUAAGCUUAACAGAGACUUACACUUAGGCUUAAUUUCAAGCUCUUCAAUCAUUUUUCCCGGUUGGUGAUUCAGGUGUAUUCUCAUGUCUUAUGUAAACUUAUCAUGAGUGUUGUUGAUUUAUAAUAUAUUUCUUUAUGUAAGCCAUAGCCUUGUCAGUUUGAGUUAUAUGGAAGACAAAUUGUAGGGAAAAAGAGCAACAGAUUACUCAGAAACCUUCUGUGUGAGCUGGGCAUAGUAGUGCAUGCCAGUAGGCUUAGCUACUUGGGAGGCUGAGGCAGGAGGAUCACUUGAUCCCAUUAGUUUGAGGCUGCAGUGAGCUAUGAUUGUGUCACUGUACUCCAAUCUGGACAACAGUGAGACUAUGUCUGUUUUUAAAAAAGAAAGAAAGCUUGUGUUUGAGAAGUGAUACCUCUAGAAUACAGUGAUUUCUAUAAUUUGUCAUGUGUUUGGGUAGUUUGAAGUUUUUCUAUCCUUGUAUCUAAUGGACAUCUGACCAUAAAGAUGAAAAAAUCCUGCACUCAUUAUAAAUUUUAUUUAUAAAAUUGAUAUUUGAGGAGUUGGGGAGGCCAGCUUCUGAAAAAAUAACAGUGUCCCAUAGAAACACCACAACUUAGGAAAAUAUUGUUAAAGUGGAAUUAGGAAUAUCUAGAGGAGGUAAAGCUUUUCAUCUCUCAAAAAAGAAUUAGGGCCAGGCACAGUGGCUGACACCUGUAAUCCUAGCACUUUGGGAGGCCGAGAUGGGCACAUCACUUGGGGCCAGGAGUUCAAGACCAGCCUGGCCAACAUGGCGAAACCCCAUCUCCAAGAAAUAGAAAAGUUAGCCAGGUGUGGUGGCGUGCGCCUGUAAUACCAGCUACUAGGGUGGCUGAGGCAGGAGAAUCGCUUGAACUGGGGAGGUGGAGGUGGCAGUGAGCAGAGAUUGAGCCACUGUACUCCAGCCUGGGCAACAGCAAGACCCUAUCUCAAAAAAAUAAUAAAGAGAAUUAGGACAUGGAUUUGUAUUAAAAUUAUAGGUAGCUCAUUUAAGAGUAUGAAGCCAAUUGCUGUUAGAGCAAGGGUUUUUUUCAGUAGAGGUGUCAGGAUAACCUAUACAGCUCUAAAAGUAUAUGGCUGUUACCUUCCCAUCCCUGUUGAAAUCUCCAGGGUUAGAACCAAGUAUUGUGUUUUUAAAACUAUAGGUGAGUCUACAAGAGUUGGGUGGAGUAGUCCUCUACAUCCUGUGUUUGUAUUUUUGCAGUAAGUCACACAAUAACAAAAGCUUUGAGAAAGAUUUUAGGUUUAUUGCUAAUUAUACCCAUGAAUGAAUUCUGAAAAUGUGUAGAUAAGGAAUUUACCUGGUGAACGGUUUACACAUGGCAAUUGUGGGAGGGAGAGGGGAGUGAGAGGAGAUGAGAUCAGUUUUAGCUUUAAGAGGACCAACCGGGCCAAGCACGGUGGCUCACGCCUGUAAUCCCAGCACUUUGGGGCCGAGGUGGGUGGAUCACGAGGUCAGCAGUUCAAGACCAGCCUGACCAACAUGGUGAAACCCCGUCUCUACUAAACAUACAAAAAAUUAACUGAGUGUGGUGGCGGGUGCCUGUAAUCCCAGCGACUUGGGAGGCUGAGGCAGGAGAAUCGCUUGAAACUGGAAGGCGGAGGUUGCAGUGAUCCGAGAUUGUGCUAAUGCACUCUAGCCCGGGCAAUAACAGCAAAACUCCCGUUUAAAAAAAAAAAAAAAAAAGGGACCAACCAUGAUAUCCUGACUAACCUGUAUAUUUCUUAGAAUGAGGGUUUAGCCUAAUAUUAAGAAAGUCUAAUGUUAAGAGACACCUAGUAAGAGCUCAACGCUGUGGUAAAAUUAUGAUAGUUAUGCAGAAACUUAAAAGCUGAAGUAUCCAGAGACAAUAUAUUGUUUAGAAUUUUCUGAAAAUAAAAAUUUUCUUGCCCUAAGUCUUGAAUUUUUAAGUUAUUGAUGUUAAUAUUUAUGAUCUUUGAACAAAUGAUAUUAUAAUAGAGUAUCUUUUAGGUCACAGAGACCCCUUUUUAGAGCUGAGAAAUCUUACAAAUUCCUCAGCCCAUGUUUUACAGAUAAGGAAAUGGGCAUGCACACAGUGAAAUUAAAAAUUGCUAGUGGUCACACUGUACAUUGAUGGCAAAGGCAGGGCAGAAUUAGAAUCCAAUUAUCUUACCUGUUCAGUGUCUUUAAUGAUACAGCAAGCUCACCACUGUUUCUCUUUACUCUUUAAACAGUGGAUUUUUUUUGUCAUGAUUUUGAUUUCUUGUAUAAUGCAGUUCAAUACUUGUUUAAUUUUAAUGUUGGACUCUCAAUUUUUAAGACAGUAGUACACAUGAAAUGUGCUUUAUAUUUUAUGUUUCAACAAGAAAAUACACAUUUUCCUUUUAAUAGAGGAGCUUAAGUUCCUAAUUUAAAUAAUUGAGUAUGAGCUUCAGAUACUUCAGAGUGGUAUUAAUAAACUUUGCUUUUCCAAAUGGUUUCAGAUAAGCAUUUAAUAUUCAAAGCUUCCUCUUUACAGCUUAGGAAGUGGUCUGGUUAAGUGACUUGAGUUCAUACAGGAAUAUAUCGGUAUGUUCCUAAUUCCCAUCAAGUGUACCAUUAUGUAAUCAUAUAAUCUUGCUAACAGAUCUAACAGAUUACUUUUUUUUUUUUUUUUUUUUUGAGACAGAGCCUUGCUCUGUCGCCCAGGCUGGAGUGCAGUGGCGCGAUCUCUACUCACUGUAACCUCCGCCUCCCAGGUUCAAGCAAUUCUUCUGCCUCGGCCUCCCAAGUAGCUGGGACUACAGGCAGGCACUACCACACCCGGCUAAUUUUUGUAUGUUUAGUAGAGACGGGGUUUCACCAUGUUGGCCAGGCUGGUCUGGAACUCUUGACCUCAAGUGAUCCGUCUGCCUCUGCCUCCCAAAGUGCUGGGAUUAUAGGAGUGAGCCACUAUGCCUGUCCUCUAGGGAAAAUCUUUAAUUCAUUCUGGACAAUGAGAAAACUUUUAUUUUUACUUUUAGUUAACAAUACUCAGGAAAAUAAAAAGUGUGCUUUUUAAUCUUAGUAACCCAAUUUGAGUUUGAAACAAAUUUACAUAAUUUUAGCUGCUUAAUAUGCUGCUGAAGAUAAAUGCAGUAAAUAUCCCAAGGUCAAGAUUUGAAAUCCAAAUGUCCAUAGUAAUGAUUAACAGGAAAAGAGAGUCCUCUGUUAACUUUAUUUCUCAAUUUUUUACAGGUUUGGAUAAUUAAGGGAGCACUAGAAAACUUUUUUUUUUUUUUUUGAGAUGGAGUCUGUUGCCCAGGCUGGAGUACAGUGGUACGGUCUCGACUCACUGCAAUCUCCGCUCCUGGGUUCAAGUGAUUUCUCUUGCCUCAGUCUCCUGACUAGCUGGGAUUUACAGGCGCAUGCCACCAUGCCCAGCUAAUUUUUGUAUUUUUAUUAGAGACGGGUUUCAUCAUGUUGGUCAGGCUGGUCUCAAACUCCUGACCUCGUGAUCCACCCGCCUCGGCCUCCCAAAGUGCUGGGAUUACAGGUGUGAGCCACCGUGCCCAGCCGAAAAUGUUUCUUUGCAAGGAUAAAUAUAUGAAGAUAAACUUGCCGAGCGUAAAUAUGUUCAUGAAUAUAGCCACUUAAGGAAAUUCAAACAUGCAGAGAUGUUCAGCUGUAUGCAGUUAUGUAUUCAUGAAGUAUUCAUGUAUUCAUGAAGCCUUAUUUGAUGUAGAAUCUGAGGGUGCUGCCUAUACAUAAACUUGCUUAAAGGUUAAAACUUAAGGAAUGUUCAUCAAAGUCACUUUCUUACACCUAACUCCUGAUUUCAUGAAUAUAACACAUAGGUGCUUAUCAAACUGAAUACCUUGGAGAUGAGCUGCUCCAGCACCAGAAGAUAAAAUUCAGUAACUGUAAUCCUUGAGGUACCUAAGUGAUACAUUUUUUUUAAGACUGAGCCAAAAUAAAACAGCUUUCCUCCUUCCCUACCCUCUCCGACCAAACUUUUAGCCAUUUUAUUUAUUUAUUUAUUUGAGAUGGGGUCUAGCCAUGUGGAGUGCAGUGGCUAUUCACAAGCAUGAUCAUAGCAAAUGACAGCCACAGACUCCUGGGUUCGAGCAAUCCUGCCUCAGCCACUCAAGUAACUAGGACUACAGGCGUAUACUGGGGCUUCUAGCCAUUUAUAUGGUAUUAAGUGACAGCUUCUAUAGUUACUUGGUACUUGUCCCUGUAAAACUGCACAGUGUGUAUUCUCUUGGCUCAAUUAUUAGCAUAUUCUGCCAUUUCCUUGUGAAUGUUUUGUAUUUUAUAUAGGAAAACUUAAGUUUUUAAAUAUCCUGAAAUAACUGAAGAAUUUUGUUUUUGCCUUUAAGUGGUAAUGUAUAAAGUAUACUAUUGCAGAGAUACUUACAGAGUGCUUUCAUUGCAAUUAAAAUACUGCAGCUAACUAGCAUGUUCCAUAUGUGUAAUCUAAAUGACAUACUGGUCAUGUGCUAUUUCUAUGGAAUACUAACAGUAGUAUGGUACAUUUAUGCAGUCUCAACAGUUUAAAGUGUUAUUUUGGUGAUAAACUGUUUACAUUUAUUUGUUUUUAUAUUUGGCAGUCUAAAUGCAAGAGUCUCCAUUUCAGCUCUUUACUCUGCAUAUCUUUAAUGUUGGGCAUUAUGCCUCUUUCUUGAGUUUCAGUCCUAUGACUGUUCCAUUUUCAGUAUUCAUGUUUAUGUGUCUUUCUAAAAUUGUUUUGCUUCUGUUUCUUGCUGCUCUUGAGACAAUUUAUGGGCAAAUUUUGUUACUUUUCAACUGGCCGUGUAUUUCCCUGUGAAGAGUUGCUGGAUUGUCUCAUUUUCCAGAUAAACUGAAUUAAUGUAGUAGUGAGGAGAAGCCAGAUUUCAGAGGUUUGACAAGUGAACAAAUGGGAAUGAGAAAAGAAGUAGGUACUUAAACUUUUAAGAAGUUUGGCUCUGAAAAAGGCAAGAAAUAAUGGGUUAGAGAGGGCAGGAUUGUAAGGAUUUAAGAUAGGAGAAGAGGCAUAAGCAUAUUUAAAUUUCCCUACUUAAGGGCCAAAAUCAUACUGUACCUCAGUCUGAACUUUUUAAAGGAAUUCAAGGACACAAAAUUCUGCCCUGCCCUGAAAUCCAGUCAGGAGGAAGGGAGAAGAGCUCUGAAGUACUUUUGUAAUUUUCUUCUACAUAAUAAUUGAUUUUUGUUUGAUUAUUUUUCUUUCCUAUAGCUCCUGUUUGCCAGGUUUUUCAUAGCUGCCUAUUUAACCAAACUUGUACUCCCAAGAAUAGUGCAUAUUUAUGAUUCUUAAUUCCAAAAACACAUGGCAAUGAUAAUGUCUCUGCUUCUUUUGAGAAAUUAACUUGGUUCUGAAAGAUGGUGUUUGCUUUUCACACCUGUAUCAUUAAUACUUCCUUGCCAAACCUAACUAGGAUCCUCACCACCACUGUUAGAGAAAACUGAUGCUCAGUUGAACCAGAAUGUUAAAUGUGAACAGGAUUUGUCUGUGUUGUUGCCCAGCUAUGUUUAUCCAUACACAUUACCUGGAGGAAGAGAAAUCUGAGAUAAUUGAGUUGAUUAGAUUACUUACAUGAAGAUGGUUUAAUUGUAUCAAUACAGAAAAAUGCACAAGGAAAGAAACUGACACCUUAAGGCAACAAAGCCCUCCAUAAAAAGUAACCGAAUUUUGAGAGUUACGAACUAAUGUCCAUUACCUGAAGUCCUUCUCAUUCCAUUACCCAGUAACAUAAAUCAAAUUCAGUAAAUAAGCUGCUUUAUGUCUUGAGAAAUUUAACUGGCAGAAUAAAUGGAAAGAAGUCAGUAAAAAGGGAGCAGUUGAACAAGCAUGGUGUCUCACACCAAUAACCCCAGCACUUUGGGAGGCCGAGGCAGGUGAAUCACUUGAGGUCAGAAGUUCAAGACCAACCUGGCCAACAUGGUGAAAACCCAUCUCUACUAAAAAUGCAAAAAUUAGCUGGGCUUGGUGGCAGGUGCUUGUAAUCCCAGCUACUCAGGAGGCUGAGGCAGGAGAGUCACUUAAAACCCAGGAGGCAGAGGCAGUGAGCUGAGAUCGUGCCACUGUACCCCAUCCUGGGCAACAGGACGAGGCUCCAUCUCAGGGAAAAAAAAAAAGAAAAAGCUGAGCAUGGCGGCAUGUGCCUGUAGUCUUAGCUACUCAGGAGGCUGAGGCAGGAGGAUCACUUGAGCCCAGGAGUCGUAGGUUGCAGUGGUGCCAUUGUGUUCCAGCCUGGGUAAGAGUAAGGCCCUGUUUCAGUAAAAAGAAGGGAGUAACCAAGACAGGUAGGGAUUCAGUAUAAUAAAAGUCAAAAGUAGUUGUUUAUUACUAGAGCCUGGCACUGUAACCUGGUAUGUCCAAAUGUGAUUUAAUUUGCUCUCAAGAUGUGCACCAGAAGAAAUAACCCGAGGCAUUUCAAAGAAAAAACAAAAUGUGACCUGCUAGUUCUGUUACUCUGCCACAAGUUAACACAUUUUGAACUUAAGUGCAGAGUCCCAUACAUCCAGUGUGACUCCCCAAAUCUCAAAAAUUUAGGCUAAAACCUAAUUUUGUGUCCAAGCCAGUGCCUGCUUGUUCCUGCUGAAUUUAAAACUUUGGGUCCAGCAAUCUUCUAUCGCUGGAGGGAGGGAGAGGUAUGAAAAUAAUGUUUAAUGGUAAUUGUUUAUUGUCAUGGGCCCAUAUUAUACCCAGAUUUAGAGAGCUAUUUGACACACCUGUAACCUAAUGUUUAUUUUAACUUAAUAUCUGCUCAGUCAGGUAAGAGAUGCAACUUCACAGAGGUCCAUUUAACGUGCCUAAACCUAAGUAGAAACACAAAAGCUAUGUAUAGUCCCUUGUUUGAGAUAACACUAAAUUUUUAGAGAAUAGCUUGGUACUGUGGUAGACAGAGUUCACUUAAAAUGCAUUUAACAAUUUACAGAUAACUGGAAAGUAAUUCAUUCAUCUUAGAACCCUGGUAGGGACAUUCUAUUAAAAUAUUUGUGUACUAGUUAAAGUCAAAAUAGAAAUACAGCCUAUCACACGGUAUUUAUACUAUGCAUUAUGAUUAAUAAAGCCACCUAAGGUCGUUACUCCAUGAUCAUGGGAAGUUGUUAGUCAUUAAGAGUUCGGGUUUAGCAACAAAAAUCUUGCGUUUGAAUCUAAACACAUUACAUGAUUUUAAGCAUGUUCAUCAUUCUGAGAUUAAAUAAAAAUUAAGGAAAUAUAUGAAAAAUGCUUAAUAAGUACCCAAAAGGUAAUAUGGUGUAGCAACUUAGAAUGUAGACUUCAGAGCCAGUCAGCUAGGAUUAAAAUGACACUUCGGCCAAUCACUGUUGACUAUAAGCAAGUUAUUUAACUCUGCCUCAGUUUUGUCUGUGAAGUAGGGAUAAAAUCUUCCUCGCUAGGUUGCUAUAAGAAUUAAAUGGAUAUAUUAAGUACUAUCAUGUGAGAUCACUUUAUUUGAGGCUAAAAAAAUUUUUUUUAACUAGGAUUCACUGAAAAUACAUCUAUAAAAAAGCCACUCUUUAUCAUGAGAAGUAUGAUUUUCUGUACCUUAGGUGUUAUAAAGCAAUAUCCCCUCAGUUUUAACUUUACCAAAAUACCUGUCUUAGUAAAUGAUACUAUAUAUACCAAAUAUUGCAUAUGUGUAUAUAAACUUCAACUGUCUACUUCUAUCACUGACAGUUUAAAAAUUGAGAUAAAGUAAGUAUUAUCUGAGUAAUAUAACCAUUUUCUAUUUAUUUAUUUAUUUAGAAACAGUCUCACUCUGUCACCCAGGCUGGAGUGCAAUGGCUCGGUCUCAGCUCACUGCAACCUCCGCCUCCUGGAUUCAGGCAGUUCCCCCACCCCACCCUCCCGAGUAGCAGAGACGGGGUUUCACUGUGUUGGCCAGGCUGGUCUCGAACUCCUGACCUUGUGGUCUGCCCGCCUCGGCCCCCCAAAGUGCUGGGAUUACAGGCGUGAGCCACCGCACCCAGCCAAUCUAACCAUUUUCAAGAUUUGAUCUGCAAAUACCUGAAAACUCACUUUGAGGCCAAGCGUGGUUGCUCAGGCCUGUAAUCCCAGCACUUUGGGAGGCCGAGGCAGGUGGAUCACCUGAGGUCAGGAGUUGGAGACCAGCCUGGCCAACACGACAAACCCCGUCUCUACUAAAAAUACAAAAAUUAGCCUGGCAUGGUGGCACACACCUGUAAUUCCAGCUGCUCGGGAGGCUGAAGCAUGAGAAUCACUUGAACCUGGGAGGCAGAGGUUGCAGUGAGCCAAGGUUGCAGUGGAUCAAGAUCACACCACUGCACUCCAGCCUGGGCAAUAGAGUGAGACUCUGUCUCAAGAAGAAGAAAAAGAAAAAAAACUCACUUUAAACUCUGCUAGACCAUUGCCCUUGUAUGUGAAAUUUUAUCUGGAUAGAAGAAGAUGAGGAAAAAAAUUUUCUUGUCUUUUAGUGGAGGAGAAUGACAUGUAAAACAAGUAUUCUUUAAAAAUUCCAAAUAUGAUAUGAGAACUACCCCAUAAAGUUGUGAAGGUCACAUUGGUGAAAGGAAAACUAAGUGCUGUGUAAAUUACAAAGUUGUCUAAGUAUCCACCUGGUCCUUACCUUGCUAUAGAAUCUUUUUUUUUUUUAGACGGAGUCUAGCUCUGUCGCCCAGGCUGGAGUGCAGUGGCGCAAGCUCCGCUUACUGCAAGCUCCGCCUCCUGGGUUCAUGCCAUUCUCCUGCCUCAACCGCCCGAGUAGCUGGGAUUACAGGUGCCCACCACCACGCCCAGCUAAUUUUUUUUUUUUUUUUGUAUUUUUAGUAGAGACGGGGUUUUCCCAUGUUAGCCAGGAUGGUCUUGAUCUCCUGACCUCGUGAUCUGCCCACCUCGGCCUCCCAAGGUGCUGGGAUUACAGGUGUGAGCCACCACGCCCAGCCUACCUUGCUAUAGAAUCUUUAGGCCUAAUAUAGUCUAGCCAGAACAGCUAUUUGGAUGCUUGCCUAAUCUUCAAUACUGGUUUCCCUUUUAUACAUGACUGCAAAACUGACUCUCACCUAGGUUUGUGAUGUUAGAAACUCCAGUUGUUUACUAUUAUUAUUAAAGUGGGAAACGGAGUUCGUUGAUCAAAUGGAUUAAUGUUUUGAGUACUUACUAUACACCAGGGGCUCUUAAAUUUUUACAUAAACUUUCUGGAUGGAGAGUGAUAGAAUCUCCAUUGUUCACUUGCCACAAGCCACACCAUUUGUAGCUAACAUUUGAAUGCUUACUAUGAGCAAAGGCACUGUUCCAAGGGCAUUACAUGCACAUCAUUCAUAUUUCUCAUUUAAUCUUUAUAACAACUCCUUAAAAUACUGGUAGUAUUCUUGUUCCCUAAUUUGUCAAUAAGAAAACUGAAAUUUAGAGAUUAUACAAUUUGCCCAGCACUAUUGGAAAGCUGGGACUUUGAAACCUGGCUGAUUUGACUCCAAAGUCUGCACUCUAUUCCAACAGACUGCCAGUGCCUCCAGAAUUAAUUAGCAUUAAUAUUUUCUGUUGUUUAUGAUCUAAGUAUGGCUGUCCAUGGCAGGGAGUUAAUGAGGGAGGCAUUAAUGGGGAAACACUGGACCACUUCUGAGAGAUGUGGUGCCCUCCCUCACAAACAGGUUUCUUGUGGUGAAAUCAGGUUGGAAGGAUAAGAGAGGCUGAAGAAGGUGGAGGUGGUGUAGUUGGGCCUGUUUAGGAACUGAUUACAUCUGAGCCUCUGGCCCUUUUUCCUGCCAGCUGACUCAGAGCUGGCAGAUGGGCCAAAGUCCAGGCAGGUUGAUUUCAUGGGCUGUAUACUUCAAAGGAUCUGAUUCCUGGUGCUACUAAGCACAUUGCUUUUCCGAAGGCACAGUCUUGUGGGGGAGGGAACAGGAUGGUCUCCAUGAGGUGUUUGUGAAAGCCCUAGGCAAUGUUUGCUCUAAUCCAAAUAUAUACAGCUUGUUUUGAGUUUGGCAAUAAAACACAGAGCCAGCCCUAAGCAGGGCUGAAAACUGAGUAUUUAAACCUUAAGUAUUCUGCAAUACAACAACAGUUAAGUAUAUGGGUCCUAGAGUCAGAUAGAACUGAAAUCUAAUCUUGACUUCACCACUCAGCUGUAGAUAAAUUACUAGACCUCAGUUUUCUUGUUCGUGAAAUGGGGAUUUUAGUUAUAGAGUACCUACUUCAUAUGGUUGUCGUGAGGAUUAAACAAAAAUGUAUACCACAGUACCUGAGAUGUAGUAAACACUCUUGAAACAUUAGUCAUUAUUCAUUUUUUAAAUUUUUCCUUCAAAUACUUUCCUAUCCAAUAGUCAUUAUUCAUUGAAAACUUCUAUUUUAUAAGACGAUCUCAGCACUUAAACAAAAUAAAUUGAUUCAUCAUGUUUUCACUUAACAGGCAUUCAAAAGGCAUUUAUUAUUGUGUUGGGUAGAUGGAUGGAGAAAAUAGCAAUAAUUUUUGUUGAACACCUAAAAUGAGCCAAACUUUUUAAAAAAUAUUGUCUCAUUUUAUGCUCACAACAGCUCUAUGAAGUAUUUUCCUAUAUUAUAGAUGAGAUCAUGGGCCAAGAGAGGAUUAGCAACAUGCCUAAGAUCAUAUAGUCAGCACUGUCUAAUUCUGAAGCCUAUGAAUAAGGUAGCAUUUAUCCCCACGGAAGCAUGGUAUUCAGCAGGCAGGCAGACACAUAAACAAGUACAGCUGGCCCAUCUAGCCUCACGUUCUGCAUCCAUGGAUUCAACCAAAAAUGGAUUUAAAAUAUUGGGGAAAAAACAAAUAAUAAAACAACUAAAAAAUACAAAUUUUAAAAUAUAGUAUAACAACUACUUACAUAGCUUUUACAUUGUAUUAGGUAUUAUAAGUAAUGUAGAGAUGGUUUAAAGUAUACAAGAGAGUCUGGACACAGUGGCUUAUGCCUGUAAUCCCAGCUUUUUGGGAGGCCAAGGUGGGUGGAUCCCUUGAGCCCAGGAGUUUGAGACCAGCCUGAGCAACAAGAUGAAACCCUGUCUCUACAAAAAAUACAAAAAUUAGCCAGAUGUGUUGGUGCAUGCCUGUGGUCCCAGCUACUCGGGAGAGUGAGGUGGGAGAAUCACUUGAGCCUCAGAGAUCGAGGCUGCAGUAAGCUGUAAUCACGCCACUGCACUCCAGCCUGGGUGACAGAGUAAGACCCUGUCUCAAAAGUAAUAAUAAUAAUAAAGUAUACAAGAGGAUGUCAUAUGUUAUAUGCAAAUAUUAUACCUUUUUUUUUUUUUUUUUUUGAGACAGUCUCUUGCUCUGUUGCCCAGGCUGGAGUAGAGUGGUGCUAUCAUAGCUGACUGUAACCUCGAACUCUUUCCUGAACUUGAGUGAUCUUCCUGCUUCAGCCUCCCAAGUAGCUGAGACUACAGGCAUGUGCCAUCACAUCCAGCUAAUUUUUAAUUUUUAAUUUUUUUUGUAGAGAUGGGGUCUCACUGUGGUGCCCAGGCUGUUAUGCCAUUUUAUAUAAGGGACUUGAACAUCUGCAGAUUUCAAGGGGAAAGAGUUUGAGGUUACAGUCAGCUAUGAUAGCACCACUCUACUCCAGCCUGGGCAACAGAGCCAGAGACUGUCUCAAAAAAAAAAAAAAAAAGAGGAGAGUCCUGGAACCAACUCCCCACAGUUAUGGAGGAAGGACUGUACCUACAGUCAAAGUGCUGUCGUUGAGUUUUACACUAGGUGCUUGGGAGAACAGAAUGGAAUAGGUGAACUCUGGGCAUGAAGUGAAGGUAGUCCCCUUCACAGGAAUAAAUGCUAAUAAUGGGGCUUCAGGUGAGAAUGAGGAAGGAAGCCUUUGCUGGUGGAGGAGUUAAGGGAGUUCUUUCUGGGUUUCCCUAAGUCACACUAGAAGAAAAGGGUUACAGGGAGGCCUUUCUGGAAUUCCUCAAGUCAAUAUGACAGCCUCUUAGAUCCAGCAUUACAACUGCAGCAAAUUUUAUAGCUGCAAACAAAGAAACUGUCUCCAGAGAGACAGAUUAUGUUGUUUACUUGAGGCAAAAUGGUGGGGGUUCUAUAUAAAUGAUAUGUCUGCAUCCGAAUCAUCUGUACCUUUUUGGGCUUUAGAACCAAACCUAAUAGUAAUAAUAGCAACCAAUUCUUAACUGCAUGAUCAUUAGGUACUAAUCACUGCUAUGUUCACAGGCUAGAACUCUCAACUGGAGAAAGGUAGAGUUGUUUGUCUAAAUCAAUAAUCUCAAAUUAAGUACACUUAAUUUGAGCAUAUACCCCCAAUAUAUGUAUAUUACUUUAUAAGUUAUACACAUCCACUAUUGGGCUAAUAUAAAAUAUACAUUAUGAAAUGUAAACAAAAAGUUUGAAGGAAUACAAUGAAAAUGAAUAAACUUUUAUCUCAGGGAAAAUAUAUACUUAGGUUUCUGUAUCUUGUUAUUAAGUGGAUACAAAUUAAUACUGUAUUUCAAAUAGAUUUUUUAAUAGUUUUGGAUGUUUUGAGUCAGCUGGUCAGAUUUUGUUAAUCAUUGUAUUUAACUUCAUAAUGUGACUGAUGAAGGGAUCAUACUAAGUAAAAGUGUCAGUUCUGCCAUUUGAGAGUGGGGGAUCCUAUGUAUCAUCUUCAAUUCACAGGGUUUUCUUUUUCCCAGCAAUUUUUUAAAACCAAUUAUUCACUUUGUAAUAUUUCAUUUUGUUAAAGUUAGAUUUUAAAAAUCCAUAAAUCCCCUUUUGAACCACAAUAUGUCACUAAUGCUCAAAGAAAGAAACUCCAUUUGUAUCUCAUCUGAUGUGAGCGUCAAAUAUAGAAACAAUGUGGGGAUGCCAACCUCAAUCCAUAUGGAUGAAUAGGGCUUAAUUUUCUCAUGAUAAACCUAAGUAGAAGCUAUGAAAAUUCUUACCACACUUCAGUGAAUUAUCUUGUAUACCUCUAGAGUGAGCACAUUCCACUUUGGAGAUCAGUAGUCUCAGCAACAAGACCUGUGGCCAUAAAGUGGGAAUAAACAAUCCAAUUUUUAGCAAUGCUUGGCCCAGAUUCACUUAUGAGUGACAUGAGAAAGGUACAACAUGAUAUUCCAGGAAAUCAGAAGAGCUAAGUAUAUCUGAACCUUUGAGAGUAUGGCCUGUCCAUACAAAGGCAGAAUCUACAUUUGUCAAGUGCCUUCAAGAAACAUUCUACCAAGAUAUGCACCUCCACAAAAGUAAGAAAAAGAGAAAAAAAAGAUUUUAAAAUUUUAUUUUAUUUUUUUGAGAUGGAGUCUCGCUCUGUCCCCCAGGUUGGAGUGCAGUGGCGCUAUCUCAGCUCACUGCAAGCUCCGCCUCCCAGGUUCACUCCAUUCUCCUGCCUCAGCCUCCCAAGUAGCUGGGACUACAGGCGCCCACCACCACACCCGGCUAUUUUUUUUUUUUUGUAUUUUUAGUAGAGACGGGGUUUCACCGUGUUAGCCAGGAUGGUCUCAAUCUCCUGACCUCGUGAUCCACCCACCUUGGCCUCCCAAAGUGCUGGGAUUACAGGCGUGAGCCACCGCACCUGGCCUUUAAAAUUUUAUUUUUAAAAAAUCACACACACACAAAAUACAUUCUACUUUUUAAGAAAAUUGACUUAGAUUUAAUCCCAGCUCUGCUAUUUGCUAACCAUGCAAUUUUGGGAAAGUAACGACCUAUUGGAGCCUGUUUCCCAUCUCCAAAGUGAGAAUGAUUAAUGCUAUACCUACUUCACUGAGAAGAAGAGUGUAUCAUGGUCAUAUUGACCCCUCACUAUGUGCAUAGAGAUGCUGAGCUAAACUCUUUACAAGCGUUUAUUUAAUCCUCAAUAUACCAGUGACUAGAGGCUAAGCAGUUUACCAAAGCAUUUUCCUUUCCCUCCUUAGCACACAGGACUAUAUUUCCUGGCCUCCUUUGCAGUUAGGUGCAGCCACAUUACUGUGUUCUAGCCAUUGAAAUAUGGAAAGAAAUGAUCAAUACUACCUCCAGCCCUGGCCCAUAAAACUUUCCUUUCCAUUCUUCGUGCUCUCAUUCUUCCUUCAUCUGCCGGAGGAUUCAGCAGAACCAUUAGGUGCACAGAGCUCUUCUCUCCUCCCACUACUUCCAACGUGCAUUGAACUGUGAUGUGAGCCAGAAAUAAACUCUUAUUGUGUUAAAU